rnacentral:rRNA from 1 species
GCAGUCGAGCGGACAGAUGGGAGCUUGCUCCCUGAUGUUAGCGGCGGACGGGUGAGUAACACGUGGGUAACCUGCCUGUAAGACUGGGAUAACUCCGGGAAACCGGGGCUAAUACCGGAUGCUUGAUUGAACCGCAUGGUUCAAUUAUAAAAGGUGGCUUUUACCUACCACUUACAGAUGGACCCGCGGCGCAUUAGCUAGUUGGUGAGGUAACGGCUCACCAAGGCAACAAUGCGUACCCAACCUGAAAGGGUGAUCGGCCACACUGGGACUGAAACACGGCCCAAACUCCUACGGGAGGCAGCAGUAGGGAAUCUUCCGCAAUGGACAAAAGUCUGACGGACCAACGCCGCGUGAGUGAUGAAGGUUUUCGAAUCGUAAAACUCUGUUGUUAGGGAAA